GACAGAGGAUGCAAGCGUUAUCCGGAAUGAUUGGGCGUAAAGCGUCUGUAGGUGGCUUUUCAAGUCCGCCGUCAAAUCCCAGGGCUCAACCCUGGACAGGCGGUGGAAACUACCAAGCUGGAGUUCGGUAGGGGAGACGUGGAAUUCCUGGUGUAGCGGUGAAAUGCGCAGAUAUCAGGAGGAACACCGGUGGCGAAGGCGGGUCUCUGGGCCGAUACUGACGCUGAGGAGCGAAAGCGUGGGGAGCAAACAGG
rnacentral:rRNA from 1 species